CGGGAAGCAAACCAGGAAGCAGGCCCUCGCCAGACUCCGAAUCUGCUGGCACCUUGAUUUUGAAUUUCCCAGCCUCUAGAUCAAGACGGGGUCUUGCUACGUUGCCCAGGCUAGUCUCAAACUUUUGGACCUGAACCAUCAUCCCAUCUCAGCCUCCUAAGGAGCUGGGACUACAGGCGAGGCCAGACCAGAGGAAAAUGAUCAGUGGAGGAGAUGGGGACUCAGGCUUCCAUUCACGUCAUCUGGCUCAGGAUUUGGGGACUGCAUCCUCAUGCUGAAGACCCCGCCACAGAGGGGGCCCCUGUGGGCAUGGCAGCAAGGGUGGCAGCCGUCUUUGGGAUGGCUCACAAAGCGGACAGAGGAAACAACAAAGACACAGCACGUGGCUCCUGUAAGUCAUUUUACUUUGAAUAUAUAGGAAACAAAAUCCACAAACAGGAAGCUAUGUUCUAUGGUUAUGUCUUUUAAACAAUGUUCUGUAUUUACAAAUUGUUUUUUUCCCUAAGUAAAAGCACCAGCUGAAAAGU
rnacentral:lncRNA from 1 species